rnacentral:lncRNA from 1 species
AAUAACCUAGAAAGGUUUGAAUCGAGACGGGUGUUACGAUUUGGUGGCCUUUGUUAAUUAAACUGGUAUCCAAUCUAAACUUCUCCCCCCUCUCUCUCUCCUCUACUCUCUCUCUCUCUACUUGAGUUGAUUCCACUAUGCAGCAUAGUUUGGACCCAAUUUUUAUUUCUUUCGUAGUACUUAGUAGUUGAUCUCCAUUUAUUGCUUUGCACAGUGGUAGCUAUUUGGGAUGUUAGUGUUGGUGUUGGGUUGUUCAAACUUGAUUUGAUUGGAUGUAUAAAUUGAAAAAGUCUCAUGAUAUUUAUAUAUUCAAUAUCUUAAAAAAAGAAUAAAAAAAUUAUCAGAGGGUGAAAAAAAUAUUGCCAAUCCAUUGGUUGGAAGUGCAUGAUUUAAUAAAUUUUGUAACCAAAUUAAGUCCUCUGAUUUGAACAAUAAAAACAUUUGUGUACACAAAAUUACCCUUGUUUUGUAUGACAAAUAUAUGUGUUUAUUAACUGUCCAACCAAAAAAUUCCAACACAUCAUCAUUUGCUCUAUCGCCACUGCAACCCUAGUGUUGACACAUAAAUUAUACUGUUUAAAAGAUUUAAUUUCAGAAUCAUUCUCUUGCCACCAUCUGACAUCUAAAUUUCAAUAUUGAAAAUUGAAAAAACCUAGGCUUUUGUUUUAUGGAUUAACUGAUGAUUAAAAAUACAAUAUUUAAUUCAGAUAUCACGAUUAUGAGUAAUAUUGAACAAUUCAGACUAAAAGAUUGCAAAUCAAUAACCAAAAAGAACACAAGAAAUUUACUAGAGCUGCAAAAAUGGGCCGGGCCCACGAAACCGCCGGAUCGCCGGACCGGUACUGUAGUAGUAGGGUUAGUCCGACCGUUAGAAGCCCGCCCGGACCGAAACCCAUUAAUAUUAGCACGGGCUGGCCAGCAUUUUGAAGCCGGCCCCGCUUUAAAAGGCCCCGGCCCAUAAAGGCCGUUAUUGAGCCCGAACCGACCCGCCAUCUUGGGCCCGUAAGCCCAAACCGUUAGCCGUUACUGUAGCAAAAUUUUUGAGGUAGAAACUAGGAUUCGACUCAAGACCUCCUCUCGCCAAACGCGCACAAUCAAAGCAUUUAUUGGUUAUAUAUACUUAUAUUAUUUAUAAACUAUAUCCAUAGUUAAUUAAAAAAAAAUGAAAAUUGUGUUGCUGGGGUAAUCGAACUAAAGGACCCCCAGGACAAAAUACGAGUUGACGACCACUUGGACCAAACACCAUUUUGCUUAUUAUUUGUUCAUGUAUAAUUAUAAAAUACUCCAUUCAUAGUUAAAAAAACAAAUAAAACGCUUUGCUUGGAAUCGAAAUAACCCCUCCACUAACAAAUCAAAGACACUAAACCACUCAACAACCAAGUCAUUCAUAAUAAAAAAUAGAAUCAUUUAAUAUAUAAACACUAGACACGGAGCUGGGCCAAAACCGGGCUGGGCUAAACCCGGACUGGUACUGUAGCACCCGGUACUGGAGCAGUCCGGGAUUAAUGGGUAGGACUGGGUAGCGCUUCGAACUAACGUUCGGCUAAACCCAGACUGGUACUGUAGCGGGUUGGAUUCGCCCGACCCGUAGCCGGUGGGGCCGUUAUGUAGCGGGUGGGUAAGCCAACCCGACCCAAUUUGCAGCUCUAAUUUUACCAUGGAACCUUUGAAUGGGAGAAAAAUCACGUGUUCACUCUCGGACAAAGAUUCAUGCACUAUAACUCGAGGUUCAGACGGUUACAAGACUCUUACAACCAAAACCUAUCAACUCCAUGAUCUAAUGAGUGUGUACAUCUACUCGUAUCACGAUCACCGUCUCGUGCUUGUCACCGUUUCAAAUCAUUAAACGGAUUUCACAUAUUGAACCCUUCAGAAUUUCGCGUUCACCGUUCAAUCCCCUUAGAAAGGAUUUAUACAUUGAACUCCUUCAAGGAUUCGAUUUUUUUCAAUAUGGUUGAUGAAAAUCUUUGCUAAGAUUCGUUCUGAGCUUUCAGAAGGUAGAUAACAUUUUUCUCUAGGUAAUAAAGAUAUAUACAGCUCUCCUUAGAUCUUGGAAGUGUUUGUGGCUUUUAUAAUAAGAGAAAACCUAAAAAAUGCAGAUUUGCGUUGCAAUUUUGCGUGUCUCACGGGUCUCUCGUGGGACUCUCGAUCCCACGAGGAUCUUCCCACGAAAUCACCCGCGAUGUCUGUGGCAAAAUACAACUCUCAGCUCUCCCUCGACGGUCCCACGACGAUCCACCGAUAUUCCAGCGAGAUCCUAUCAUCUCUAAGUUAUUUUGACCAUAACUUCUUACUCUGUAUCCGAUUGAGCGAUUUUUAAUGUGUUAAAAAUAGACAUCAGGGCUACCAUUUUGUCUCUAAUAAUCGUUGACUGAAUCGAUAUCUAAGAUGGACAAAAUCACGCUUGAAUGUUGUAGGUAAAAUCUUCCCGAAUCAUAUAAGUCUCUCUUAGCACGAGCUUGCAUGAAUAUGCUUGAACCCUUCGAAUGCUUCCAAAUCU